rnacentral:rRNA from 1 species
UUUUAAAGAGCCGCGGUAAUAUGACCGUGCAAAGGUAGCAUAAUCAUUAGUUUUUUAAUUGGAAGCUUGUAUGAAUGAUUGAACAAGAAAUUAACUGUUUCUGUUAUAUAAUUUGAAUUUAAUUUUUAAGUUAAAAAGCUUAAAUAAACUAAGGGGACGAUAAGACCCUAUAAAUCUUUAUAUAAAAUAAAUUUUAAUGUAAAUAUGUUGUAAAUUUAAAAUUUAUUUUUAUAUUUAACUGGGGCGGUUCAAGUAUAAUUUAAUAUAACUAGUUGAGUUGUAAAUACAUAUUUUUUGAUAUAUAUAUAUGAUCCUUAAAUUGAAGAUUAUUAGAUUAAGUUACUUUAGGGAUAACAGCAUAAUUUUUUUUAAGAGUCCUUAUUGAAAAAAAAGAUUGUGACCUCGAUGUUUAAUUAAAUUUUCUUUAUAGUGCAGUAGUUAUAAUAGAAGGUCUGUUCGACCUUUAAAUUUUUA